UACAGGACUGGCAGCAAGAUCCCAGCCCCGCCCCACCCAAGUUUUAGUGGGCGGGGCCUACUGGAAGGGGCGGGGCUGGCGGCGGCGCGGCGCGAGUGGCUGCUCCUGCGCCUGCGCAGUCUGAUGGCAGAGGCCUGAGCUAGAGGGCUUCCGCUGCCGGUAGCCGGGGCGCCUGGAGAAGGGAAAGGGAAUGCAGUAGAGUAGGGCGCGCCUGGGUCCCCGACUCAGCCCCAAGUGAGCCCGAGGUAUUUUCCUUAUAUGAUCAGGCCUCCCGUGGCCGGCGCUGCUGGUCCGGAGCCUGAGAGGAUUAUGAAAACGUGGCAGGGUUUCCUGCUUUCUGGAACUUGCCCUGUAGACGAGGCUAGCCUCAAACGACGAGAUCCGCCUAAAUACUGGGAUUAAAGGCGUGCUCCUCCAAGCACGGCUUUAACCUAAUCAUUUUUCGUCAAAACCUUCAGGAAUUACAGAAAUGUGGAAAGGUUUUAAAAUGCAGAACUGGAGACUAAACCAGAGUCUGGAACAUGUUGUGUACGCCUUCUACCUUGUGCUACACCUUCGCCUACCAUAAAAUUUCCAUAGUGGUUCCUGGGGCUGCGUGUCUGAAAGCAUCAUCCAUCCAUGGAGAUGCCUUGUUUGGUCUGCAAUGAAAUAGGGAGGAUGUAAAGGCCCAGCAACCACUGCAUUGUUAAGCACAGCUCCAGCGGAAACUCUGGUCUUCUGGAAGAACUGAAGCUGUUGUUUCUUAGGCUGUAGAGAGGGUUAGUUAACCCCUCCCUCCUUCUGGCUAAUUACUAUGCUUUUGUUUAGUGAACCUUUGUACCUCCUGACCAACCAG